ACACGUGAUUCAGAGUUUGAUCCUGGCUCAGAUUGAACGCUGGCGGCGUGCCUAACACAUGCAAGUCGAGCGGCAGCGCGGGAGCAAUCCUGGCGGCGAGCGGCGGACGGGUGAGCAAUAUUUGGGAAUCUGCCUAUUAGUGGGGGACAACCCGGGGAAACUCGGGCUAAUACCGCAUACGCACUACGGUGGAAAGCCGGGGACCGCAAGGCCUGGCGCUAAUAGAUGAGCCCAAAUCGGAUUAGCUAGUUGGUGAGGUAAUGGCUCACCAAGGCUACGAUCCGUAGCUGGUCUGAGAGGACGACCAGCCACACCGGAACUGAGACACGGUCCGG
rnacentral:rRNA from 1 species